rnacentral:rRNA from 1 species
UACGGAGGGAGCUAGCGUUGUUCGGAUUUACUGGGCGUAAAGAGCGCGCAGGCGGUCGUUCAAGUCGCGUGUGAAAGCCCCCGGCUCAACUGGGGAGGGUCACGCGAUACUGAUCGACUGGAAGGCAGGAGAGGGUAGUGGAAUUCCCGGUGUAGUGGUGAAAUGCGUAGAUAUCGGGAGGAACACCAGUGGCGAAGGCGACUACCUGGCCUGUUCUUGACGCUGAGGCGCGAAAGCUAGGGGAGCAAACGGG